AUCCAGCUGACCAGUCCCAGAUAGGACGGAACGCGCGUCAAACUGAAU
rfam:Schistosoma rodhaini strain Burundi genome assembly, scaffold: SROB_scaffold0009377